rnacentral:rRNA from 1 species
UUAGAGUUUGAUCCUGGCUCAGGAUGAACGCUAGCGGCAGGCUUAACACAUGCAAGUCGAGGGGCAGCAUGUCCAGCAAUGGAUGAUGGCGACCGGCGGAAGGGUGCGUAACGCGUGAGCAACAUGCCCUAUACAGGGAGAUACACCAGGGAAACUUGGUCUAAUAUCCCAUAGCAUUCAUUGAAGGCAUCUUUAAUGAAUUAAAGCUUCGGUGGUAUAGGAUUGGCUCGCGUGACAUUAGCCAGAUGGUGAGGUAACGGCUCACCAUAGCAAUGAUGUCUAGGGGUUUUGAGAGGAAGGCCCCCCACACUGGGACUGAGACACGGCCCAGACUCCUACGGGAGGCAGCAGUUGAGAAUCUUGCACAAUGGGGGGAACCCUGAUGCAGCGACGCCGCGUGGAUGAUGAAGGCCUUCGGGUUGUAAAGUCCGAUAAGCAGGGAAGAAUAAGUGAGGGGUAAUAUUCCUCAUGAUGACGGUACCUGCCUAAAGCCCCGGCUAACUACGUGCCAGCAGCCGCGGUAAUACGUAUGGGGCGAGCGUUGUUCGGAAUUAUUGGGUGUAAAGGGCGUCUAGGCGGGAGAUUAAGUUAGAUGUGAAAGGCGUGGGCUUAACCCGCGAAUUGCAUCUAAAACUGGUUUUCUUGAGUUCGGGAGAGGAGAGCGGAAUUCUUGGUGUAGCGGUGAAAUGCGUAGAUAUCAAGAAGAACACCAGUGGCGAAGGCGGCUCUCUGGCCUAGAACUGACGCUGAAGCGCGAAAGCGUGGGUAGCGAACGGGAUUAGAUACCCCGGUAGUCCACGCCGUAAACGUUGUAUACUAGGUGUUAGUGGCUUGACUACUAGUGCCGCAGCAAACGCAUUAAGUAUACCACCUGGGGAGUACGCCCGCAAGGGUGAAACUCAAAGAAAUAGACGGGGGCCCGCACAAGCGGUGGAGCAUGUGGUUUAAUUCGAUGAUACGCGAAGAACCUUACCUGGGCUUGAACUGUGCUUGACAGGUGUAGAGAUACGCUCUCCCUUCGGGGCAAGUACAGAGGUGCUGCAUGGUUGUCGUCAGCUCGUGUCGUGAGAUGUUGGGUUAAGUCCCGCAACGAGCGCAACCCCUCCUCUCUGUUGCUAUCAGGUAAUGCUGGGCACUCUGAGGGAACUGCCGGUGACAAACCGGAGGAAGGUGGGGGGGACGUCAAAUCAUCACGGCCCCUAUGUCCAGGGCUACACACGUGCUACAAUGGCCGGUACAAAGAGUUGCUAAACCGCGAGGUCAAGCUAAUCUCAAAAAACCGGUCUCAGUUCGGAUUGGAGUCUGCAACUCGACUCCACGAAGUUGGAAUCGCUAGUAAUCGUGGAUCAGAACGCUACGGUGAAUAAAUUCCCGGGCCUUGUACUCACCGCCCGUCAA